UAUAAUUAAUAUUAUUUUAAAUUUUAAGUUAUUAAAUGUUAAAUCAUUAAAUUAAAAAGAUUUGGCGGUAUUUUAAAUAAUUAGAGGAACCUGUAUAGUAAUUGAUAGUCCACAAUAAGAUUAACUUAAUUAAAAAUUUAUGUAUUGCUGUUUUUAGAUUAUUAUUAAUUAAAUUUUUAAAUUUUUAAAUUUUAAUUUAAUUCAAGUCAAAAUAUAGUUUAUUUAAGAAUUAAUAUGGGUUACAAUUUUUUUUAUAAUGGAUAGAAUUAAUUUAAAUUAUUUUUAAAACAGGAUUUAAUAGUAAAUUUAAUAAAUUAAUUAUUUUGAAAUAAAAAUGAAAUAAGU
rnacentral:rRNA from 1 species